UACCGCAUGAUAUCUUCGGCUCAAAGAGGGGGACCUUCGGGCCUCUCGCGUCAGGAUAUGCCCAGGUGGGAUUAGCUAGUUGGUGAGGUAAUGGCUCACCAAGGCGACGAUCCCUAGCUGGUCUGAGAGGAUGAUCAGCCACACUGGAACUGAGACACGGUCCAGACUCCUACGGGAGGCAGCAGUGGGGAAUAUUGCACAAUGGGCGCAAGCCUGAUGCAGCCAUGCCGCGUGUGUGAAGAAGGCCUUCGGGUUGUAAGCACUUUCAGUCGUGAGGAAGGUGGUGUUGUUAAUAGCACCAUCAUUUGACGUUAGCGACAGAAGAAGCACCGGCUAACUCCGUUGCCAGCAGCCGCGGUAAUACGGAGGGUGCGAGCGUUUAAUCGGAAAUUACUGGGGCGUAAAAGCGCAUGCAGGGGGUUUUGUUAAGUCAAAUGUGAAAAGCCCCGGGGCUCCACCCUCGUAAUACCCAUUUUGAAAACUGGCAAGCU
rnacentral:rRNA from 1 species